rnacentral:rRNA from 1 species
AACGUAGGAGACAAACGUUAUCCGGAGUUACUGGGCGUAAAGGGCGCGUAGGUGGCGCGACAAGUCAACGGUGAAAGCUCGGGGCUCAACCCCGAGUCGGCCGUCGAUACUGUUGGGCUCGAGCACUGUAGAGGCAGGUGGAAUUCCGGGUGUAGCGGUGGAAUGCGUAGAGAUCCGGAAGAACACCGGUGGCGAAGGCGGCCUGCUGGGCAGUAGCUGACACUGAGGCGCGACAGCGUGGGGAGCAAACAGG